rnacentral:rRNA from 1 species
UACAGAGGUGGCAAGCGUUGUUCGGAAUUACUGGGCGUAAAGGGCGCGUAGGCGGUCUUGUAAGUCUCGUGUGAAAUCCCUCGGCUUAACUGAGGAACUGCACGGGAUACUGCAUGACUUGAGAUCGGGAGAGGGAAGCGGAAUUCCUGGUGUAGCGGUGAAAUGCGCAGAUAUCAGGAGGAACACCGAUGGCGAAGGCAGGUCUCUGGCCACUACUGACGCUGAGAAGCGAAAGCAUGGGGAGCGAACAGG